ACAAAGGCUCGUCCAAACUGCUGUCUUCUUGCGCCCCCCACUGCUGACGAGCCGCAGAGAUCAAAAGGAGCCACACAGCCCAUUUCUCUCUUCCCUUUCCUUCCCUCUCUCCCUCCCGGCACUGAGGGCUCCGUUUGGCGGCCAGGCUUUGCUUUUGUGCGCGCGUUUGCUGCCUCUCCCCGGAGCGACUUCUCUUUCCCCUGCAAAAGAAACCUCCUGCAACUUUGCCAAGGAGGAGAGGAGAGGAAAGGACGACGGCGCAAAGAUAUUCCGAGUCCUUCCUGGACUGCAGAGCUUGGCAACGGAGCCUUUCCAGGUGGGGACCGAUUCCUCUGGACGACCUCCGCGAGCGAAAUUUGGGCUAGUCUAACGGGUCCGAUUGCCAAGCAAAGUCUGAAACGGCCCGAAAUUUCCACGCUUAGCCCAUUUCUUUGGAGGAAAGGUGGCUUCUGUGGGGUGUGUGAAGAACCCUGAAGGAAAUGAAUAGCCCCAGCCUGGAAUAAAAUCCCUCCCCUUAAAAAAAAAC